rnacentral:rRNA from 1 species
AUUGAACGCUGGCGGCAUGCUUUACACAUGCAAGUCGAACGGCAGCGCGGGGCAACCUGGCGGCGAGUGGCGAACGGGUGAGUAAUAUAUCGGAACGUACCCAGAAGUGGGGGAUAACGUAGCGAAAGUUACGCUAAUACCGCAUACGAUCUACGGAUGAAAGUGGGGGACCUUCGGGCCUCAUGCUUUUGGAGCGGCCGAUAUCUGAUUAGCUAGUUGGUGAGGUAAAGGCUCACCAAGGCGACGAUCAGUAGCUGGUCUGAGAGGACGACCAGCCACACUGGGACUGAGACACGGCCCAGACUCCUACGGGAGGCAGCAGUGGGGAAUUUUGGACAAUGGGGGGCAACCCUGAUCCAGCAAUGCCGCGUGAGUGAAGAAGGCCU